rnacentral:misc_RNA from 1 species
GAAAUGCGAUAAGUAAUGUGAAUUGCAGAAUUCAGUGAAUCAUCGAAUCUUUGAACGCACAUUGCGCCCCUUGGCACUCCGAGGGGCAUGCCUGUCCGAGCGUCAUGAGACCAAUCAAGCCUUGCUUGGUAUUAGGCCGUGCCAGCGAUGGCAGGCCCCAAAUCCAGUGGCGGCGCCGCGCGGCUCCGAACGUAGUAACAUCCUCGUUACGGACGUCCGCGGUAGGCGACCAGGAACCUUAACUUUUCGGGUUGACCUCGGAUCAGGUAGGGAUACCCGCUGAACUUAA